GCGAGCCGGGCUGGCGGGACGCGGGGGAGGCGUGCGGCACGGCGCGGGGAGCGGCCAGGUCCUUUCACGUAGAGGGCAUUUAUUGGGUCGAUGGCUGCAACACUGCAGAAGGUUGCAAAGGAAGUGGAAGAUCGGGCCUUUCCAAGAGUUACAAUCGAGCUAGCAACACAGGCAUGAGCUUUUAAAAUGCAGUUAGCUACCCAAGCCUGCUUCAGAGGAUAUUUUCAGCAUAUCUAGAGUAGAGCUGGGAUCCACAGUUAAAAUAAAAAUGACUUGGCUGCAAGAUGGCUCAGCCAGUAAAGGUG